rnacentral:rRNA from 1 species
GAUGAACGCUGGCGGCGUGCUUAACACAUGCAAGUCGAACGAAGCAGUUGCGAAAGGUUUUUUCGGGAUGAAGUUGCUCAUGGCUGUGUGGCCGAAGGGUGGAUAACGCGUUGGUAACCUGACUUCUACUAGAGGGUUGCAGCUGGGAACCGGUGGUAAUUACCAAUAAGCACACACUGAUGCCUGCCUAGGUGUGUAAAACUUAGGUGGUAUAAGAUGGACCCGCGUCUGAUUAGCUAGUUGGUGAGGUUACAGCCCACCAAGGCGACGAUCAGUAGCCGACCUGAGAGGGUGACCGGUCACAUUGGAACUGAGACACGGUCCAGACUCCUACGGGAAGCAGCAGUGGGGAAUAUUGCACAAUGGAGGAAACUCUGAUGCAGCGACGCCGCGUGAGUGAAGAAGUAAUUCGUUAGGUAAAGCUCUAUUAGCAGGGAAGAUAGUGACGGUACCUGACGAAGAAGCCCCGGCUAAAUACGUG